rnacentral:rRNA from 1 species
CCCUUAGUUAUCCUAGGUCGCACGCGCCAUACAAUGUGGCGCACAACGAGUCUCCUUGGCCGACAGGAUGUCCCGCGAGCGAUCGGCGACGCAGCCAGCUCGGUCUUCGGGCAGACUCGGUGAGAGUGGCCCGUCCUCCUGAGAGGGCGAUCGUCGAUGCCUCGGGAUUCUGGGCAAUCUGGCAGAGCGCUACGUGACUGGGCUAGACUUUUGUAAUUUUUGGUCUUGAACGAGGAAUUCCUAGUAAGCGCAAGUCAACAGCUUGCGUUGAUUACGUCCCUGCCCUUUGUACACACCGCCCGUCGCUACUACUGAUUGGAUGCUUAAGCGAGGUUCUCGAACUGCUAGCGACUUAGCUUCGGUGAGGUCGCAGUGUGGGAAGUGAACCUAGCUUUGGUGUCUAGAGGAAGUAAAAGUCGUAACA